AACAAAUCAAUUUUUCAGUUUUUAGAUAUAUGUUUGACUUUUCGUCUUAUUUAAAAAAAUUUGUGAUUAAUAUUUUUUGUUUUUAUUAGAUGAUAAAACAUGAAUAGUGCUUUAUGUGUGACUAUUUUCUAAAAAAUUUCUUGAAAAACUUUCAAAUAAAGCGGAUGGUCAAACACUCAGCACGAAAACCGAAAGUUUGUCUUUUU
rnacentral:pre_miRNA from 1 species